UACCAGCACCCCGAGUGGUCGGGACGUUUAUUGGGCCUAAAGCAUCCGUAGCCGGUUCUACAAGUCUUCCGUUAAAUCCACCUGCUCAACAGAUGGGCUGCGGAAGAUACUAUGGAGCUAGGAGGCGGGAGAGGCAAGCGGUACUCGAUGGGUAGGGGUAAAAUCCGUUGAUCCAUUGAAGACCACCAGUGGCGAAGGCGGCUUGCCAGAACGCGCUCGACGGUGAGGGAUGAAAGCUCGGGGAGCAAACCGG
rnacentral:rRNA from 1 species